AUUGAACGCUGGCGGCAGGCCUAACACAUGCAAGUCGAGCGGAGCGGCGGACGGGUGAGUAAUGCCUAGGAAUCUGCCUGGUAGUGGGGGAUAACGUCCGGAAACGGGCGCUAAUACCGCAUACUAUCAGAUGAGCCUAGGUCGGAUUAGCUAGUUGGUGGGGUAAAGGCCUACCAAGGCGACGAUCCGUAACUGGUCUGGGAGGAUGAUCAGUCAAACUGGAACUGAGACACGUUCCGGACUCCUAUGUGAGGCAGCAGGGGGGAAUAUUGGACAAGGGGCGAAAGCCUGAUCCAGCCAUGCCGCGUGUGUGAAGAAGGUCUUCUGAUUGGAAAGCACUUUAAGUUGGGAGGCGUUACCAACAGAAUAAGCACCGGCUAACGUCGUGCCAGCAGCCGCGGUAAUUC
rnacentral:rRNA from 1 species